AUGUUAUAUUCAUUCCCCAAUCAUGAUCUCUCAAGAGAAAUUAUUAUCCAGAAUUUUUAUGCUCGGCUUUGUCGUAAUGAUCAAACCAUGCUUGAUGCUUCUUGUGUUGGUUCUUUUAUGAAGAAGACUAUUGAAUUCCGGUGGGAUAUUUUGGAAAGAAUUAAACACAACUCUGAAGAUUGGGAACUCGACAAAGGUAAAGAGUCGGGUAUUAAACUUAAGUAUGAUUGUGUUAAAUCUUUUAUGGAUACCGAUGCUUUUCAAAAGUUUAGCACUAAAUAUGGACUUGACUCUGAGAUAGUAUCCUCUUUUGUGAAUCAUUUGCUACUCAUGUUUUUCGCCCUAAAGAGAAGUGGUUUAAAUAUCAUCCACCUAUUAAAGAAGAAAUUAUUGAACCAGUACCAGUUAAAGAAGAAACUAUACUUUAUAAUGUUGAUCCAGUUGUUCCUUCUGCUUAUAUUGAGAAACCACCUUUCCCUGUUAGGAUAA
rnacentral:rRNA from 1 species